CUUUGCUGCUAUAAACAUGGAUCGGAAUCCAACUUCGAAACGUAACCCCCUCCCCUAAAAGUCUUUCAUACAAACAACAGUGGUUUUAAUAAACAAACGUCAUCCACGCUCCAGAAUAAGAUUAGACUAGUUGAGCACAAAACAUGAGCUCACCCUCUAAGAAAGCGACUUACUUGCUAUGAUAGGCCUGGAACUCAAAACAAUACGUGAAAAAUGUGUCAUGAAAGUUAAGUGUGGGCGGGCGGGGGGGGGGGGGUAAUCUUGAUCAACACGUUCAUCUGAAUGAAAACACCCCAUCAAAGCUGCAGAAUAAGACUAGCCUAUCUGAGCACAAAGGGCUUGCGUUCCUCCCAAGAAUCGAGUCAGUUGCUCUACUAAAUUUGGUGCGAAAAACACGGCGUGACAGCCAUGUUGGAAACA